AUUGAACGCUGGCGGCAUGCUUUACACAUGCAAGUCGAACGGUAACAGGGUGCUUGCACCGCUGACGAGUGGCGAACGGGUGAGUAAUGCGUCGGAACGUGCCGAGUAGUGGGGGAUAACGCAUCGAAAGGUGUGCUAAUACCGCAUACGUACUGAGGUAGAAAGUGGGGGACCCUCGGGCCUCACGCUAUUCGAGCGGCCGACGUCUGAUUAGCUAGUUGGUGAGGUAAAGGCUCACCAAGGCGACGAUCAGUAGCGGGUCUGAGAGGAUGAUCCGCCACACUGGGACUGAGACACGGCCCAGACUCCUACGGGAGGCAGCAGUGGGGAAUUUUGGACAAUGGGCGCAAGCCUGAUCCAGCCAUGCCGCGUGUCUGAAGAAGGCCUUCGGGUUGUAAAGGACUUUUGUCCGGGAGCAAAUACCCAGUGCUAAUAACGCUGGGGGCUGAGAGUACCGGAAGAAUAAGCACCGGCUAACUACGUGCCAGCCGCCGCGGUAAAAC
rnacentral:rRNA from 1 species